rnacentral:rRNA from 1 species
ACAACUUUCAACAACGGAUCUCUUGGCUCUCGCAUCGAUGAAGAACGUAGCGAAUUACGAUAUGUAAUGUGAAUUGCAGAAUUCAGUGAAUCAUCGAAUCUUUGAACGCACCUUGCGCUCUUUGGUAUUCCGAAGAGCAUGCCUGUUUGAGUGUCA